GUGGGGGAUAUUGCACAAUGGAGGAAACUCUGAUGCAGCGACGCCGCGUGAGUGAAGAAGUAUUUCGGUAUGUAAAGCUCUAUCAGCAGGGAAGAUAAUGACAGUACCUGACUAAGAAGCCCCGGCUAACUACGUGCCAGAAGCCGCGGUAAUACGUAGGGGGCAAGCGUUAUCCGGAUUUACUGGGGGUAAAGGGAGCGUAGACGGAAUGGCAAGUCUGAAGUGAAAUCCUGCGGCUUACCUGCAGAAUUGCUGUGGAAGCUGUCAAUCUGGAGUGUUGGAGAGGUAAGCGGAAUUCCUGGUGUAGCGGUGAAAUGCGUAGAUAUCAGGAAGAACACCGGAGGCGAAGGCGGCUUACUGGACAAUAACUGACGUUGAGGCUCGAAAGCGUGGGAAGCAAACAGGAUUAGAUACCCUUGUAGUCC
rnacentral:rRNA from 1 species